GCUCACUUUGGUGGGACAUAUACUAAAAUUGGAAUGAUACAAAGAUCAGCAUGGCCCCUGAGCAAGGAUGACACACAAAUUCAUGAAACGUUCCAUAUUUUA